rnacentral:rRNA from 1 species
UUUAAAGCUUGCUUUUGUGAGGUCAGCGGCGGACGGGUGAGUAACACGUGGGCAACCUGCCUGUAAGACUGGGAUAACUUCGGGAAACCGGAGCUAAUACCGGAUAAUAUAUUGAACCUCCUGGUUCUUUAUUGAAAGAUGGUUUCGGCUAUCACUUAUGGAUGGGCCCGCGGCGCAUUAGCUAGUUGGUGAGGUAACGGCUCACCAAGGCGACGAUGCGUAGCCGACCUGAGAGGGUGAUCGGCCACACUGGGACUGAGACACGGCCCAGACUCCUACGGGAGGCAGCAGUAGGGAAUCUUCCGCAAUGGACGAAAGUCUGAUGGAGCAACGCCGCGUGAGCGAUGAAGGCCUUCGGGUCGUAAAGCUCUGUUGUUAGGGAAGAACAAGUGCUAGAGGAAUUGCUCGCACCUUGACGGUACCUAACCCAAAAGCCACGGCUAACUACGUGCCCACAACCCGCGUAAUACGUAAGUGGCAAGCGUUGAUCGGAAUUAUUGGGCGUAAAGCGCGCGCAGGUGGUCCUUUAAGUCUGAUGGGAAAGCCCACGGCUCAACCGGGGAGGGUCAUUGGAAACUGGGGAACUUGAGUGCAGAAAAAGAAAGUGGAAUUCCCAGUGUAACGGUGAAAUGCGCUAGAGAUAUAGGAAGAACACCACGUGGGCGAAAGCGCACUUUUCUCGGUCUGUGAACUGACACUCGAGAGCGCGCAAAAGCG